rnacentral:rRNA from 1 species
UACGAAGGGGGCGAGCGUUGUUCGGAAUUACUGGGCGUAAAGGGCGCGUAGGCGGCGAACCAAGUCAGAUGUGAAAGUCCUGGGCUUAACCUGGGGACUGCAUUUUAUACUGGUUUGCUUGAAUUCGGGAGAGGAUAGCGGAAUUCCCAGUGUAGAGGUGAAAUUCGUAGAUAUUGGGAAGAACACCGGUGGCGAAGGCGGCUAUCUGGACCGACAUUGACGCUGAGGCGCGAAAGCGUGGGGAGCAAACAGG